rnacentral:tRNA from 1 species
GGCUGCAUAGUUCAGCGGUAGAACGCCUGUCUCAUGAGCAGGAAGUCCCAGGUUCAACUCCUGGUGCAGCCA